rnacentral:rRNA from 1 species
UAAAAAAAGGUAAGCUACUAAGAGCGAAUGGUGGAUGCCUUGACUGGUAAAGGCGAUGAAGGACGUACUAGACUGCGAUAAGCUACGGGGAGCUGUCAAGAAGCUUUGAUCCGUAGAUUUCCGAAUGGGGCAACCCAAUGUAUAGAGAUAUACAUUACCUAUAUAGGAGCGAACGAGGGGAAUUGAAACAUCUUAGUACCCUCAGGAAAAGAAAUCAAUAGAGAUUGCGUCAGUAGCGGCGAGCGAAAGCGCAAGAGGGCAAACCCAGUGCUUGCACUGGGGGUUGUAGGACUGCAAUGUGCAAGAGGUAAGUUUAGCAGAACAUUCUGGAAAGUAUAACCAUAGAGGGUGAUAGUCCCGUAUGCGAAAAACAAACCUUAGCUAGCAGUAUCCUGAGUAGGGCGGGACACGAGGAAUCCUGUCUGAAUCCGGGUCGACCACGAUCCAACCCUAAAUACUAAUACCAGAUCGAUAGUGCACAAGUACCGUGAGGGAAAGGUGAAAAGAACUGAGGUGAUCAGAGUGAAAUAGAACCUGAAACCAUUUGCUUACAAUCAUUCAGAGCCCUAUGUAGCAAUACAGGGUGAUGGACUGCCUUUUGCAUAAUGAGCCUGCGAGUUGUGGUGUCUGGCAAGGUUAAGCAAACGCGAAGCCGUAGCGAAAGCGAGUCUGAAUAGGGCGCUUAGUCAGAUGCUGCAGACCCGAAACGAAGUGAUCUAUCCAUGAGCAAGUUGAAGCUAGUGUAAGAACUAGUGGAGGACUGAACCCAUAGGCGUUGAAAAGCCCCGGGAUGACUUGUGGAUAGGGGUGAAAGGCCAAUCAAACUUCGUGAUAGCUGGUUCUCUCCGAAAUAUAUUUAGGUAUAGCGUUGUGUCGUAAUAUAAGGGGGUAGAGCACUGAAUGGGCUAGGGCAUACACCAAUGUACCAAACCCUAUCAAACUCCGAAUACCUUAUAUGUAAUCACAGCAGUCAGGCGGCGAGUGAUAAAAUCCGUCGUCAAGAGGGAAACAACCCAGACUACCAGCUAAGGUCCCUAAAUCUUACUUAAGUGGAAAACGAUGUGAAGUUACUUAAACAACCAGGAGGUUGGCUUAGAAGCAGCCAUCCUUUAAAGAAAGCGUAAUAGCUCACUGGUCUAGUGAUUUUGCGCGGAAAAUAUAACGGGGCUAAAGUAAGUACCGAAGCUGUAGACUUGCACACAACUUAGAUUAUUUAAGUUUAGAAUAUGAGAAACUAAGUUAUAUGUUUAGUUAUAUUUUUACUGAUUUUUAUAGAGUAAAGAUAGAAAUAAAACUUAGUAAAAUCAGUAAAAAUAUUCUUAGACUAAAGUUAAGUAGUUUAAGUUGUGUGCAAGUGGUAGGAGAGCGUUCUAUUUGCGUCGAAGGUAUACCGGUAAGGAGUGCUGGAGCGAAUAGAAGUGAGCAUGCAGGCAUGAGUAGCGAUAAUUAAUGUGAGAAUCAUUAACGCCGUAAACCCAAGGUUUCCUACGCGAUGCUCGUCAUCGUAGGGUUAGUCGGGUCCUAAGUCGAGUCCGAAAGGGGUAGACGAUGGCAAAUUGGUUAAUAUUCCAAUACCAACAUUAGUGUGCGAUGGAAGGACGCUUAGGGCUAAGGGGGCUAGCGGAUGGAAGUGCUAGUCUAAGGUCGUAGGAGGUUAUACAGGCAAAUCCGUAUAACAAUACUCCGAGAACUGAAAGGCUUUUUGAAGUCUUCGGAUGGAUAGAAGAACCCCUGAUGCCGUCGAGCCAAGAAAAGUUUCUAAGUUUAGCUAAUGUUGCCCGUACCGUAAACCGACACAGGUGGGUGGGAUGAGUAUUCUAAGGCGCGUGGAAGAACUCUCUUUAAGGAACUCUGCAAAAUAGCACCGUAUCU